UUUUUUUUCUUUUUUGAAGAUGUUAUUUGAGAGAGAGUGAGCAAGCAAGAGGCAGCGACAAGGAGCGGGGCGGGGGACAGAGGGAGAAGCAGACUCCCCACUGAGCAGGGCGGUGACAUGGGCUCCAUCCUGGGACCCACGAUCAUGACCUGAGCCCAAGGCAGACUCUUAACCCACUCAGCCACCCAGGCACCCCCUAAAGCGUAUUUUUAAGUUUGUAAAGGGGCCAAGUUUACGUAAACAGGCCAGAUGGAGACUUGGCUCCCCUCCCCUGCUCCCUGCUCGCCCCAAGUCACACGGAGCACCUGGAGGGUUGGUGGACAGCUUGCCUCACCCUUUCUUUGUGUCUCUCAGACCAAGGUGAGGCCGGGAGGCAGCUGGGCCUGGGGAAGGCCAGCAGCGGAGGCCUGUGCCUGGCCCCCAGCAGGACGCACAGCGGCUCCCUGGCCGCCAGCGCUUAAAGACUCGGCCUCGGGACAGGCCACGUUCCGGGAGGCCAGCUGGACCCUCCGACCCUCCGGCUCCCGCCGCCUCGAGCCUUCCUUGCAUGCCUGGGAGCUCGCGUGGUUAGGGCCCGGGUGUGCCCCGGCGACACAGGGGGCGCCUGGACGGCGCCCACCUCAGAAGACAGUCGGUGUGGACCUGCUGUCACGCAGGCCGAAGCGGGGCCCCCCUGGCCUGCCGUCCCCUCCCUGCGGACUCCCUGCCCGGCCUCAGCCUUCCCCAGGGGGAGCCUCCAGCCCUCCGGGCCCAGCCGUGUGUGGUAGAAGACAGAGGGCGGUGAAUCCCCGCCCGGAACCUGCUGGCCCCCAAGCAGCAGUGACCUGUGUCACUUUGGGCAACAUACGUCACCUCCUAAGUCUCAGGUUCCUGAACUGUUUUGGUUUUUUUUGGUUUUUUUUUUUUUGUUUUGUUUUGUUUUUUUUGAGGGAGCGGGGAUUGUACGCAAACAGGAAUCGUUUCUUCCAGUCAAGAACGAGGAGAGAGAUCGGGCCCAGGGGCCCAUUCCUGCCGGGCCUGCCUCACGAGAUGCCAAAUCACCGCCGGCUGAGGGGGAUUUUCACCGACUCCACGGGAGCAGCGCCUCACACAGCCGUCACCAGGGGUCAUAUAAAAGGGGCUAAGUGCCCCGUUAACGGGUCUCACAGGCACAUCUCCGGGAACCUGCUAUAGACGUGCUUCUUGUCUUGACACAAGGCUCCAGGAUGGGAGGCAUCCUAGAGGGGAAACUAUAAUCCCCCGGAGCCUCAGGUCGCAGACCUCCCCCUAAUGCCCUGGGGGAACCCGCUUCCUCUCCACAACUCCUCACGACUAAACACACCCAAAAAGCUGAUAAAGGCAGCACUAAGUCAACUCCUAAA
rnacentral:lncRNA from 1 species